rnacentral:rRNA from 1 species
AGAGUUUGAUCAUGGCUCAGGAUGAACGCUGGCGGCGUGCCUAACACAUGCAAGUCGAGCGAAGCGAUUCGGAUGAAGUUUUCGGAUGGAUUUUGGAUUGACUGAGCGGCGGACGGGUGAGUAACGCGUGGGUAACCUGCCUCAUACAGGGGGAUAACAGUUAGAAAUGACUGCUAAUACCGCAUAAGCGCACAGGGUCGCAUGGCCCGGUGUGAAAAGCUCCGGCGGUGUGAGAUGGACCUGCGUCUGAUUAGCCAGUUGGCGGGGUAACGGCCCACCAAAGCGACGAUCAGUAGCCGGCCUGAGAGGGUGGACGGCCACAUUGGGACUGAGACACGGCCCAGACUCCUACGGGAGGCAGCAGUGGGGAAUAUUGCACAAUGGGGGAAACCCUGAUGCAGCGACGCCGCGUGAGCGAAGAAGUAUCUCGGUAUGUAAAGCUCUAUCAGCAGGGAAGAGAAUGACGGUACCUGAGUAAGAAGCCCCGG